GUAUUUACCUGGCAGGGGAGAUAAACAUGAUCGUGAAGGUGGUUUUCCGAGGGCAAGGCUUAUCCAUUGUACUCUGGAUGUGCUGACCCCUGCAAUUUCCCCAGAUGUGGGAAACUCAGCUACAUAAUUUGUGAUAGUGGGGGACUGCGUUCACGCCUUUCCCUG
ensembl:snRNA U1 U1 spliceosomal RNA